rnacentral:rRNA from 1 species
GACGAACGCUGGCGGCGUGCCUAAUACAUGCAAGUAGAACGCUGAAGGAGGAGCUUGCUUCUCUGGAUGAGUUGCGAACGGGUGAGUAACGCGUAGGUAACCUGCCUGGUAGCGGGGGAUAACUAUUGGAAACGAUAGCUAAUACCGCAUAAGAGUAGAUGUUGCAUGACAUUUGCUUAAAGGGUGCAAUUGCAUCACUACCAGAUGGACCUGCGUUGUAUUAGCUAGUUGGUGAGGUAACGGCUCACCAAGGCAACGAUACAUAGCCGACCUGAGAGGGUGAUCGGCCACACUGGGACUGAGACACGGCCCAGACUCCUACGGGAGGCAGCAGUAGGGAAUCUUCGGCAAUGGACGGAAGUCUGACCGAGCAACGCCGCGUGAGUGAAGAAGGUUUUCGGAUCGUAAAGCUCUGUUGUAAGAGAAGAACGAGUGUGAGAGUGGAAAGUUCACACUGUGACGGUAUCUUACCAGAAAGGGACGGCUAACUACGUG